AGAGUUUGAUCCUGGCUCAGGAUGAACGCUAGCUACAGGCUUAACACAUGCAAGUCGAGGGGCAUCAGGAAGAAAGCUUGCUUUCUUUGCUGGCGACCGGCGCACGGGGGAGUAACACGUAUCCAACCUGCCCUUUACUCGGGGAUAGCCUUUCGAAAGAAAGAUUAAUACCCGAUAGCAUAAUGAUUCCGCAUGGUUUCAUUAUUAAAGGAUUCCGGUAAAGGAUGGGGAUGCGUUCCAUUAGGUUGUUGGUGGGGUAACGGCCCACCAAGCCUUCGAUGGAUAGGGGUUCUGAGAGGAAGGUCCCCCACAUUGGAACUGAGACACGGUCCAAACUCCUACGGGAGGCAGCAGUGAGGAAUAUUGGUCAAUGGGCGCUAGCCUGAACCAGCCAAGUAGCGUGAAGGAUGAAGGCUCUAUGGGUCGUAAACUUCUUUUAUAUAAGAAUAAAGUGCAGUAUGUAUACUGUUUUGUAUGUAUUAUAUGAAUAAGGAUCGGCUAACUCCGUGCCAGCAGCCGCGGUAAUACGGAGGAUCCGAGCGUUAUCCGGAUUUAUUGGGUUUAAAGGGAGCGUAGGUGGACUGGUAAGUCAGUUGUGAAAGUUUGCGGCUCAACCGUAAAAUUGCAGUUGAUACUGUCAGUCUUGAGUACAGUAGAGGUGGGCGGAAUUCGUGGUGUAGCGGUGAAAUGCUUAGAUAUCACGAAGAACUCCGAUUGCGAAGGCAGCUCACUGGACUGCAACUGACACUGAUGCUCGAAAGUGUGGGUAUCAAACAGGAUUAGAUACCCUGGUAGUCCACACAGUAAACGAUGAAUACUCGCUGUUUGCGAUAUACAGUAAGCGGCCAAGCGAAAGCAUUAAGUAUUCCACCUGGGGAGUACGCCGGCAACGGUGAAACUCAAAGGAAUUGACGGGGGCCCGCACAAGCGGAGGAACAUGUGGUUUAAUUCGAUGAUACGCGAGGAACCUUACCCGGGCUUAAAUUGCAGUGGAAUGAUGUGGAAACAUGUCAGUGAGCAAUCACCGCUGUGAAGGUGCUGCAUGGUUGUCGUCAGCUCGUGCCGUGAGGUGUCGGCUUAAGUGCCAUAACGAGCGCAACCCUUAUCU
rnacentral:rRNA from 1 species